rnacentral:rRNA from 1 species
AUACGUAGGUGGCAAGCGUUGUCCGGAAUUAUUGGGCGUAAAGCGCGCGCAGGCGGUCUCUUAAGUCUGAUGUGAAAGCCCCCGGCUCAACCGGGGAGGGUCAUUGGAAACUGGGAGACUUGAGUGCAAGAGAGGGAAGUGGAAUUCCAUGUGUAGCGGUGAAAUGCGUAGAGAUAUGGAGGAACACCAGUGGCGAAGGCGGCUUCCUGGCCUGUAACUGACGCUGAGGCGCGAAAGCGUGGGGAGCAAACAGGAUUAGAUACCCUGGUAGUCCACGCCGUAAACGAUGAGUGCUAGGUGUUAGGGGGUUUCCGCCCCUUAGUGCUGCAGCUAACGCAUUAAGCACUCCGCCUGGGGAGUACGGUCGCAAGACUGAA